UGCGUAGGCGGAAUAAUAAGUCAGUGGUGAAAUCCUGCGGCUCAACCGUAGAACUGCCAUUGAUACUGUUAUUCUUGAAUGUAGUUGAGGUAGGCGGAAUGUGUAAUGUAGCGGUGAAAUGCUUAGAUAUUACACAGAACACCGAUUGCGAAGGCAGCUUGCUAAACUAUUAUUGACGCUGAUGCACGAAAGCGUGGGGAGCGAACAGGAUUAGAUACCCUGGUAGUCC
rnacentral:rRNA from 1 species